rnacentral:rRNA from 1 species
AACGAACGCUGGCGGCAUGCCUAACACAUGCAAGUCGAACGAGACCUUCGGGUCUAGUGGCGCACGGGUGCGUAACGCGUGGGAACCUGCCCUUAGGUUCGGAAUAAAUCCCCGAAAGGGGUGCUAAUACCGGAUAAUGUCUUCGGAUCAAAGAUUUAUCGCCUUUGGAUGGGCCCGCGUUGGAUUAGCUAGUUGGUAGGGUAAAAGCCUACCAAGGCGACGAUCCAUAGCUGGUCUGAGAGGAUGAUCAGCCACACUGGGACUGAGACACGGCCCAGACUCCUACGGGAGGCAGCAGUGGGGAAUAUUGGACAAUGGGCGAAAGCCUGAUCCAGCAAUGCCGCGUGAGUGAUGAAGGCCUUAGGGUUGUAAAGCUCUUUUACCCGGGAUGAUAAUGACAGUACCGGGAGAAUAAGCUCCGGCUAACUCCGUG